rnacentral:lncRNA from 1 species
GGUUAAUCCCAAGAAUGUUGGCUUUAAUAGCAGUACAUAGGCAAAGAGCAGCAUCAAGGUCAGCAACACCAUGAAUGAGAGUGCAACAAGGUUUUUUUGGAGGAUUGCCAACCGCAAGUCCAAGCAAAUUGCCUAAAACAUUAGCACAAACACCUAAUUUUAGAGUAUCAAUUGGGCACUUGCCUUUGGAUUGGCUAGGGCUUGGUUUUGGCUUCGGCUUCGGACUAGGGCAAGUGCCACAUGCACUUAGGAGGGAGAAAAAGAGAAGGUUGACAAGAAUAAAGAAAGCAAGAGAAGUAGUUUUCUUAGUAGCCAUUUCUUAAUUAUGAGUGAUAUAGCUACUAAUUUUAGUUGUUAUAAGUGGAUUUUAGCUUUGUUUGAUACUGCAAAGAUUAUAGAAGGUGGGUUUAUAUAGGAUGCAAAAGUAUGAAUUAAAGUGAAGAGAAAUAUUAAAGAAAUUAAGUUCUAGAAACCAUGUGUCCCCAAGGUUUUAGCUGGCAGCACAAGCAAAUUAGAUAUUUACUCAAAAUCUCUUGAAUGCAUUGUUAGCCACAUAAGGUGUUGCAAUUUGCCAUGUUCCUUCGCA